rnacentral:rRNA from 1 species
UACAGAGGUGCCCAAGCGUUGUUCGGAUUCACUGGGCGUAAAGGGUGCGUAGGUGGCUUGGUAAGUUCGAUGUGAAAUCUCCGGGCGUUAAACCCCGGGAAAUGGCAUUUGAAUACUAUUGAGCUGGAGGUUUGGAGGGGGGACUGGAAUUCUCGGUGUAGCAGUGAAAUGCGUAGAUAUCGAGAGGAACACCAGUGGCGAAGGCGAGUCCCUGGACAACACCUGACACUGAGGCACGAAAGCUAGGGGAGCAAACAGG